CACCGGCCAAUCUCUCCUACAAAGUUCCUGGAUUCUUAUAACCAAGUCCCUAUUCGAUUGUCCACGAGUCUUAUCCAAAGUUGCCGCAAUAGCUUGAGCACAAUCUAUUUCAAUAGUAACAAUAUCUCAUUUAGCAUUCCAAGCCAGAGUGAGGAUAUUUUAAAUCGCCUAAAGUUCUGCCUGCUCGACACUGCAUUUGCCAAUAUUUCUC
rnacentral:lncRNA from 1 species